CAAGCUGUCUCUUGAUUGACCUAUCUAUAAAAUGUCAUUGAUCAGUUGUGUUAAGAGGGCAGGUGGGUUAGCUGCAUCAUUUUCUUCUCUUAGGUUAGCCACACACAGGUAGCUUUAAUUCCCCAAGUCCGCAGGAUCUGGGAAGAGGAAUGAACUUUAAGAUUCCACAGCAUGAAAAAUUCAAGAAUGGCUUCUACAAAGCAGUCAUAUUCCAGAGAUACACUUUUGAAAGGUGCUUCUGAGCUUGUUUUGUGUUAUACUUCUUGGCUUCCUGGAGUCUACUUCUGAAGAAAUAUCUCACAAGGAACAAGCGUGACAAGAAUGUACAGAAUGGAAGGAAGAUGAAGCUCUUAUUUGUGAUUAUGCACAUUGAACUUUCCUUUUCUAGUGUAAGAGUCCACUGGAAAUAGCUGAGAAAGGAAUAUUAUACAGCCAAACAUCACAAAGCCUGUCUGAUCAAAUGAAUUUACUCAUUG
rnacentral:lncRNA from 1 species